rnacentral:lncRNA from 1 species
UUAUUGAUAAUUGUUGUAAAAUAACUAAGAUAGAGUAGAGAACAUAAAAAAAAUGACAUAUAUUAAAUUUGUAUUUGUGUCUGGAGCUUUGUGAUGUGUGGUUGAAGAAGCAAGACAUGCGUCCGGUAUUUGGUAAGUGCUGUUGAUUGAACUGGAUAAAGACAAGAGAACAUAAAAAAAAUGACAUAUAUUAAAUUUGUAUUUGUGUCUGGAGCUUUGUGAUGUGUGGUUGAAGAAGCAAGACAUGCGUCCGGUAUUUGGUAAGUGCUGUUGAUUGAACUGG